GUGAAGAGAACACUUCUCACAGUGACUGUUGAACAUCUGCUAGCCUGUCCUGUUGAUUUAAACCUUGUUGUAGAGAUGGAACAUUGUCUCUGGAUUAUUUUGGCGGCUCUUUUCACUGGUAAGAAAGGAUGGUUAUGGUUUAUCAUUGAAGAAAUAUUGAGAUCAACUGGAGUUAAAAACAGAAACUUCAUUACAGUUUAGGUCUUUAGGUCUAAACAGUAAAGCAUUACUUUCAUAUUUGACCCUGCAUUUUCCUCUCUGCUACAUGAACAACAUCAUUCUAAUGACGUAUUUUCUCCACCUUUUCCAGGACUAAUAGAUGGAAACAAAAUCUCUCCUGUUAGAGAUGAAGUCAGUGGAACAGAAGGACAACCUGUAACACUCAGGUGUGACUAUGAGACAACAAGUGAAUAUGUUCACCUCCACUGGUACAGACAUCAAUCUGACCUCCAGGCCCCUCAGUUUAUACUCUGGAAAGGAGCCAGAUCACGGAGUGACAGGAAAUAUAUUCCAAAUGGACGAUAUGAAUCUGAAACAUCAAGAAGCUCAACUGAACUGACCAUCAAAGAGCUAACCCUGGCAGACACCGCUCUCUACUACUGUGCUUUAGAC